GAGAUACAGAGACAGCCCCUAACGGUGCCUGUGGCGGGGUGCCUUCAAAGUCGGCCUUUCCGAUGUCCGACAGACUCCCGAGUCGAAACAUGUCCUCCGUACCUCUGCGGAGCGAUCCUCCACUCAUUACAACCGUCAACGUCAAUGUCCCCGACCUCCUUAGAGAUUGCAAUUGGCAAAUCGUCGGCGCCUACGACAACCCUUUGCAAACGCCUUGGAGGGGAGGCGUCCGUACUUUCAGUCUCGGUAUGAAUUGUCAAGCACUUAGAUGGAAAAGGAAAGAUAUUUUGAGAAUCGACAAGAACAGGAUUUCGGGAUAAUGCAUCUGCAUUGGAAUUGAUUUUCCCAGGUUUAUAGACCAUCUCAUAAUCGUAUUCGUUUAAUCUAAUACGCCAUCUCAUGAUACGGGAAGUGGGAUUUUUUACAUUGUGCAGCCAAAUCAGCGGUCGAUGCGUCAUUAAGGGUCCGAGAUGCAUACGCGAUUGGGAGAUCUUUUCCGAUCUGACCCUGACUCAAUACAGCUCCGACUGCAUAAUUAGAAGCAUCAGUUGUUACGAGGAAUGGCUGUUGAAAGUUGGGAAAUUGGAGCAACGGCUCCGAACAAAUGAUAUCACGUAAACUCUCGAAAGCGAAUUUGACAUCUUUACCCCAGACAAAAGGAAAUGACUUAACAGCCGUGAUCUUCCCGGGGUCUGGUUUCACUCCUUUGGCAGAGAUAACGUGACCCAAAUAGGCAACUUCUCGUCGCAAGAAUCGACAUUUCUCGGGUUGUAACGUUAAACCGGCAUUCUGCAACCGAGCCAAGAGAAUUCUCAAUUUACGAGUAUGCUCUUCCAAAGAAUCAGCAUAUAUGACGAUGUCGUCCAUAUAUACAAAAAGCUCGACUCCUUGUAAACCAACCAAAACCAAAUCCAUGCACCUCUGAAACGUGGCUGGAGCAUUUUUAAGCCCGAAGGGCAUAUUAUUAAAUUCAUAAUGCCCAUUAACAGUUGAGAAAGCGGUCUUGGAUUUAGAAUCCGGAUGUAUGGGGACCUGAUGGAAACCAGAGGCAAGAUCGAGGGUACUAAAAUACUUGGCG